rnacentral:rRNA from 1 species
ACGAAGUGGUUGAUGCCAUGCUUCCAAGAAAAGCUUCUAAGCUUCAGGUAACCAGGAACCGUACCCCAAACCGACACAGGUGGUUGGGUAGAGAAUACCAAGGCGCUUGAGAGAACUCGGGUGAAGGAACUAGGCAAAAUGGCACCGUAACUUCGGGAGAAGGUGCGCCGGUGAGGGUGAAGGACUUGCUCCGUAAGCUCAUGCCGGUCGAAGAUACCAGGCCGCUGCGACUGUUUAUUAAAAACACAGCACUCUGCAAACACGAAAGUGGACGUAUAGGGUGUGACGCCUGCCCGGUGCCGGAAGGUUAAUUGAUGGGGUUAGCUAACGCGAAGCUCUUGAUCGAAGCCCCGGUAAACGGCGGCCGUAACUAUAACGGUCCUAAGGUAGCGAAAUUCCUUGUCGGGUAAGUUCCGACCUGCACGAAUGGCGUAACGAUGGCGGCGCUGUCUCCACCCGAGACUCAGUGAAAUUGAAAUCGCUGUGAAGAUGCAGUGUAUCCGCGGCUAGACGGAAAGACCCCGUGAACCUUUACUAUAGCUUUGCACUGGACUUUGAAUUUGCUUGUGUAGGAUAGGUGGGAGGCUUUGAAGCGUGGACGCCAGUUCGCGUGGAGCCAUCCUUGAAAUACCACCCUGGCAACUUUGAGGUUCUAACUCAGGUCCGUUAUCCGGAUCGAGGACAGUGUAUGGUGGGUAGUUUGACUGGGGCGGUCUCCUCCUAAAGAGUAACGGAGGAGUACGAAGGUGCGCUCAGACCGGUCGGAAAUCGGUCGUAGAGUAUAAAGGCAAAAGCGCGCUUGACUGCGAGACAGACACGUCGAGCAGGUACGAAAGUAGGUCUUAGUGAUCCGGUGGUUCUGUAUGGAAGGGCCAUCGCUCAACGGAUAAAAGGUACUCCGGGGAUAACAGGCUGAUACCGCCCAAGAGUUCAUAUCGACGGCGGUGUUUGGCACCUCGAUGUCGGCUCAUCACAUCCUGGGGCUGAAGCCGGUCCCAAGGGUAUGGCUGUUCGCCAUUUAAAGUGGUACGCGAGCUGGGUUUAGAACGUCGUGAGACAGUUCGGUCCCUAUCUGCCGUGGACGUUUGAGAUUUGAGAGGGGCUGCUCCUAGUACGAGAGGACCGGAGUGGACGAACCUCUGGUGUUCCGGUUGUCACGCCAGUGGCAUUGCCGGGUAGCUAUGUUCGGGAAAGAUAACCGCUGAAAGCAUCUAAGCGGGAAACUUGCCUCAAGAUGAGAUCUCACUGGAACCUUGAGUUCCCUGAAGGGCCGUCGAAGACUACGACGUUGAUAGGUUGGGUGUGUAAGCGCUGUGAGGCGUUGAGCUAACCAAUACUAAUUGCCCGUGAGGCUUGACCAU